CCCACUGAGUUUAAGCAUAUAAUUAAGCAGAGGAAAAGAAACUUACAAGUAUUCCCCUAGUAACUGCGAGCAAACCGGGAAGAGCCCAUCAUGAAAAUCGGGUGGUAGCGUCGCCUGAAUUGUAGUCCAUAGAAGCGUCCUUAGUGGUGGACCGAGCCCAAGUCCCCUAUAAGGGGGUUCCUAAGAGGGUGACAGCCCCAUCGGGCCCAGACCCUGCCACACCAUGAGGCAUUGUCGACGAGUCAGGUUAUUCGGGAAUGCACCCCUAAUCGGGUGGUAAAUUCCAUCCAAGGCUAAAUACGGGCAAGAGACCGAUAUCAAACAAGUACUGUGAGGGAAAUAUGAAAAGGAAUUUGAAAAGAGAGUUAAAGAGUGCUUGAAAUUGCCAGGAGGGAAGCAGAUGGAGGUUGACGAUGCGUCUCGGUCAGAUGCGAAACGACUCAAUUUGGUCCACCGCUCGACUCGAGGUGCGAACUAGCACAUGUCGUUGCAUGACACAAUUGCAGGUGGAGUACUGCCUAUUGGUUUGUCGUUGUGGUGGUCAAGGAAUGAAGCAUGUGCCCCUUAGGGUGGGCCACUGUGCACCUGCACGCUCUAGGUGUUGGUUGGCAGGAUUUCCAUUUGACCUGUCUUGAAACACGGACCAAGGAGUCUAACAUGUGUGCGAGUUGAUGGGUUUGUAAACUUUCAAGGCAUAAGGAAGACGAUGGGUGGGAUCCCCUCUCCAUGGGGUGCAUUGGGUUCUUUUGCGAAGGGUUUGAGUGCGAGCACACCUGUUGGGACCCAAAAGAUGGUGAACUAUGCCUGAGUAGGGUGAAGUGAGAAGAAAAUAUGGUGGAGGCCCGUAGUGAUACUGACGUGAAAAUCGUUCAUCUGACUUGGGUAUAGGUGAAAAACACUAAUCAAACCAUAUAGUAGUUGGUUUCCUCCAAAGUUUCCCUCAAGAUAUAUAGAGCUCACGUGCAAGUUUUGUCGGGUAAAGAAAAUGAUUAGAGGCAUCGGGGGCGUAACUCCCUCGACCUAUUCUCAAACUUUAAAUAGGUAAGACAAUGCGACUACUCCAUUGAGCUGUGCCAUAGAAUCAAGAGCUCUAAGUGGGCCAUUUUUGGUAAGUAGAACUGGCGAUGUGGGAUGAACCGAAAGUUGAGUUAUGGUGCCAAACUAUGCGCUAACCCAUAUCCAACAAAGGGUGUUUGUUGAUUAAGAUAGUAGGACGAUGGUCAUGGAAGUUGAAAUCCACUAAGGAGUGUGUAAAAACUCACCUACCGAAUCAACUAGCCCCAAAAAUGGAUGGCGCUGAAGCGUGCAACCUAUAUUCGACCGUCGGAGAAAUUGUCAGGAUUUGAUGAGUAGGAGGAUGCAGGGGUUAUUGAGAAACCUUGGGCAUGAGCCUAGAUGGAUCGGUCCCCGGUGCAGAUCUUGGUGGUAGUAGUAAAUUUUUAAAUGAGAACUUUGAAGACUGAAGUGGGGAAAGUUUCCAUGUGAACGACACUUGGACAUGGGUUAGUCACUCCUAAGAGAUGGGGAAGCCCUGUAUCAAGGAUGCACUAUGCACGAACAUCGAAAGGGAAUCAGGUUAAUAUUCCCUAACCAAAACAUGGCGGCAAAUGACAACGUUAGGAAAUUCAGAGACGUCGUCAGGGGCCUCGGGAAGAGUUAUAUUUUCUUUUUAACAACUUUCCCACCCUGAAAUCGGCUCAACUGGAGAUAGUAUCCAGUAGCUGGAAGAGAAUCACACAUCUUGCGAUGUCCGGUGCGCUCUUGAAGACCCUUAAAAAUAUGGAGGACCGAGUACCAUCCAUGAUUGGUCGUACUCAUAACCACAUCAGGUCUCCAAGGUGAACAACCUCUGGUC
rnacentral:ncRNA from 1 species